UGCCCCAGUAACGGCGAGUGAAGCGGCAAGAGCUCAAAUUUGAAAUCUGGCCCCUCCGGGGUCCGAGUUGUAAUUUGCAGAGGAUGCUUCGGGUGCGGCCCCUGUCUAAGUGCCCUGGAACGGGCCGUCAGAGAGGGUGAGAAUCCCGUCUUGGGCAGGGUGCCCGUGCCCGUGUGAAGCUCCUUCGACGAGUCGAGUUGUUUGGGAAUGCAGCUCUAAAUGGGUGGUAAAUUUCAUCUAAAGCUAAAUACCGGCCGGAGACCGAUAGCGCACAAGUAGAGUGAUCGAAAGAUGAAAAGCACUUUGAAAAGAGAGUUAAACAGCACGUGAAAUUGUUGAAAGGGAAGCGCUUGCGACCAGACUCGGCCUCGGGGUUCAGCCAGCAUUCGUGCUGGUGUACUUCCCCGGGGCCGGGCCAGCGUCGGUUCGGGCGGCCGGUCAAAGGCCCCAGGAAUGUAUCGUCCUCCGGGACGUCUUAUAGCCUGGGGUGCAAUGCGGCCAGCCUGGACCGAGGAACGCGCUUCGGCACGGACGCUGGCGUAAUGGUUGCAAACGACCCGUCUUGAAACACGGACCAAGGAGUCUAACAUCUACGCGAGUGUUCGGGUGUCAAACCCGUACGCGCAGUGAAAGCGAACGGAGGUGGGAGCCCCUUUUGGGGCGCACCAUCGACCGAUCCUGAUGUCUUCGGAUGGAUUUGAGUACGAGCGUAGCUGUGGGGACCCCGAAAGAUGGUGAACUAUGCCUGAAUAGGGCGAAGCCAGAGGAAACUCUGGUGGAGGCUCGCA
rnacentral:rRNA from 1 species